rnacentral:sRNA from 1 species
UCCGGGGUGUAAACACGGCUACUGCAUU